UCCUACGGGAGGCAGCAGUGGGGAAUCUUGCGCAAUGGGCGAAAGCCUGACGCAGCGACGCCGCGUGGACGAUGAAGGCCUUCGGGUUGUAAAGUCCUUUUAGUGGGAAAGAAGUCCCGACUUGUCGGGAUGACGGUACCUACAGAAAAAGCCCCGGCUAACUACGUGCCAGCAGCCGCGGUAAUACGUAGGGGGCAAGCGUUGUCCGGAUUUACUGGGCGUAAAGCGCACGCAGGCGGUACGCUAAGUCAGAUGUGAAAACCAGGAGCUCAACUUCUGGCCUGCAUCUGAAACUGGCAUACUAUAGUCUAGCAAGGGAAAGCGGAACUCCCGAUGUAGCGGUGAAAUGCGUAGAUAUCGGGAGGAACACCAGUGGCGAAGGCGGCUUUCUAGGCUGUGACUGACGCUCAGGUGCGAAAGCUAGGGGAGCGAACAGGAUUAGAUACCCCAGUAGUCCAAGCCG
rnacentral:rRNA from 1 species